AUUUUUCGUAUUUUUAUUAGCCAGCGGGUAUGGCUUUGCAUUCUCUAAAAGAUAAUAAAUAUGGGCUAUAUAAGAGUCGAAGUUUUUAGUAAAGAUUUAAUAAGUCGAUACGUGUCAUCGAAUUUACUAAUAGAAAAGGACUGGUUAACUCCUCAAGUGCAUCUUAAGUAGCCAGUUACUUAUUUAUCCCGAAAGAAGUCCACUUGGCAGUACGAAUAGGAACCAACUCAAAUCAGAGCUGCGCUUUAUCGUUAAAAACGACACAUAACUUGGGCAGUAGAAAAGAUUUACGAGGACGAGUAAAUAAUUGGCAAAUAACGCCGCCUGGUAAUUAAUAAAGUUUAUCCUAAGUUGACGGCAAGCGUAUGCCGUCGUCAUAAAAUUACCGCCAUAAAAGGCACUCUGAGUUCACGAAAUGCUCGGUGGAAAGCGGUGGAAGGCAUACAAAUCGGAAAAAAGAAGCGCUUUCAAUAAAUUAUCAAAGCCGAAUGAGAGUGCUCGAUGAGCAAUUGAAUAUGCGAUUUCUAUGGUCAUUAAUCCCGAGCACCGAUACACCGCCUGCUAAACAGUUCCCAGCUCGGUUUUCCACAGCUCCGGCAGCCAAUUUGACUAUGCAAAUAGCUGGAUUUGAGCGCUCUGUGUUUUGCGAGUUGCCUUUCGAGUGCUGCCAAUUAACAAGCCCUAGACAUCGAGUAUAGUAUGUGUAUGUGGGCAUGUGUGUAGACAGGGACGGCAAGAUAGCCGAAGCGACAGCGAUUUUUCAUUCAUAAAAAAGGCAGCGAGCUGAUGAAGCUCCGCUGAUGUCGCUGGCUGUCAGCGGGUUUUUCAGGCCGAGUUGCCACAGGAAGCAAUCAUCGUGCUACAAGUCAUAUUAACUUACGCUGGGCGCACAAAAAAUAAGUAUGCGAGUGUAUGGCCAUCUGGAAAAAGCGGCGGGCCCAGAAUCACGGCAAAAACAGAAGCAGCAGCUGGGAGCUGGGAGCUGAGAGUUGCCAACUGGCAACUGGUAACUGGUAAAUGGUAACUGGUAACUGGUACUUGGGAACGGGGAACUCGGUUGAUGGGGCUGGAUCCGAUCCGAUCUGGUCGGCAUAUGCUGUCCGGCAACUUUGCGCAUGCGAAAGUUGCACUCGAAGCUAUCAAUGAAGGAGGACCCAAGCCGGACCUGUUCCCCCCGAAAACCGGCGAGGAGCCCAGGCUUCGAAAUGCGAGCAGGUGCACCACUUACCCACACCGGCAAACAUUUCAUAAUGAUGGAUGGCCAACACCAACACACUGGCGCGCCUGAGCCGGUUUUCGACCAGCGUCAGUUGUUUGUAUCUCUUUGUUUUGUUUCUUUUUUAUUUCUUAUUUUUGUUGCUUUUGAUGUUUUUUUUUUGUUUUCCCGUGUUGCCUCAAUUAAACUGCCUGGGAUGUGGUCGAAAACCCACAAAAGUGUACGGCAACUUCUGGCCCAAAAAGAAGCGAGAUACUCGUGAAAACUGAAUUAAUAACCAGUCGCCGAGUCAAUGUGAGAAUUAUAUCAAUUUUUAGUUGCAGAUGCCAGGAAUGUAAAGUUCAUAUUUAGCACUAACGAACUUUUUAUGGAGUAGCGAAAUAGGAUGAUUGAUGGCCUGGUUCGGAGUUAAUAGAAUGACAAUAACCGGGAAGCCGUAUGACUGAUGAGGGUGUGAGAACUCCAAAUUGAUAGGGACAGGAGAUUUCGGAAACCGAUGUUUUUGUAGAGAUAACAUGAACAAAAAAUAAAGAAAGGAGAGUUCCUGUAAUGAAGAAAGCCGAAUAAGGAACACACAGUUUCCUUCUCCACUUAUGAAAUAGUAGUAACUCACUA